GCAAGUCGAACGAACCUUCGGGUUAGUGGCGGACGGGUGAGUAACGCGUGGGAAUCUUCCCUCAGGAGGGGGAUAACGGCCGGAAACGGCCGCUAAUACCCCAUAUGCCGAGAGGUGAAAUGAAUUUCGCCUGAGGAUGAGCCCGCGUCUGAUUAGCGAGUGGGUGAGGUAAGAGAGAACCAAGGCAUCGAUCAGUAGCUGGUCUGAGAGGAUGAUC
rnacentral:rRNA from 1 species